rnacentral:lncRNA from 1 species
AUUUAGGAUCUUGUUGUAGGUUCUAUAGGCGCUGAUACAAGGAUUGUGUGCAGUUGAAGGGCAAAAACUGCUCUCUCAAUGCUUUCUUCAUCUUUAUCUAGUCUUGGAUUUUUGGUUUGUCCCUGCGCUUCCUGAUUUUUUUUUAACUAUUUUCACCAUACAGAAGCUCGACCUGUCAAUUUUAAGGCAAUAAGUUUUAUCUUUUUAUCAUCAGGUAUCUCCUUGUACAUGAAAAUGCAUUCGAUCUAAUCCAACCAAUCAAGGAACACCUUCAUCGGCAGACCACCUGAAUAUUCAGGUAGAUCUACUCGUAUGGAAUCAAACCAGUAGGUUGAUCAUUCAAAUAAGUCACCAUGACCUUCUCGCUGGUAUGUAGGAAGACCCCUAUGAAAGAGAUUUUCGAAAUCUAAAAACUCUCCUUCAGAUCUGUGAUCAUCAGGUUCCACCUCGGAUCUCACAUCUCAAAUUUCUAAUUGCAUAAGAUGCGCAAUCAGAUCUGCCACUGGUCUCUUCAAAUCUUUGCACUCCAACAUCAGGUCCCAUUCUUGUUAUGUGAUUUCUUCAUAGACUGCUGCUUGAUUCGUAGGUCGGUUCUUCUUACGACCAUCACCUGCCAUCUGAACUAUAGAAAAAAAUCAGCACUUAUGAAUUUGAAGGGCUCUAAUACCAACUGAUGCAACCUACAGCAUGGUGAUUGUUGGGAAAAAAGGAUGGAAGACGCACGAAAUAAUAAAAGACGGAGA